rnacentral:rRNA from 1 species
AUUGAACGCUGGCGGCAUGCCUAACACAUGCAAGUCGAACGGCAGCGCGGGGGCAACCCUGGCGGCGAGUGGCGGACGGGUGAGGAAUGCAUAGGAAUCUGCCCGGUUGUGGGGGAUAACGUAGGGAAACUUACGCUAAUACCGCAUACGACCUUCGGGUGAAAGUGGGGGACCUUCGGGCCUCACGCGAUCGGAUGAGCCUAUGCCCGAUUAGCUAGUUGGCGGGGUAAGAGCCCACCAAGGCGACGAUCGGUAGCUGGUCUGAGAGGAUGAUCAGCCACACUGGGACUGAGACACGCCCCAGACUCCUACGGGAGGCAGCAGUGGGGAAUAUUGGACAAUGGGCGCAAGCCUGAUCCAGCAAUGCCGCGUGUGUGAAGAAGGCCUUCGGGUUGUAAAGCACUUUUGUUCGGGAAGAAAUCCGUGUGGUUAAUACCCGUACGGGAUGACGGUACCGAAAGAAUAAGCACCGGCUAACUUCGUG